AUACUUGUCAAAAAAUUAUCAACUAACUAUAAUUAAUAUUGCCUAGCAAUAGGAUAUGGCGAUAAACUUGAUUUAUAAUAACCAUUUGGACUCGGGGGCGGUACCCGACACCUCCACCAUUUAAUGAUAUUUGGGGGUGACAUAGUUUCGACAGAUGCUAAAAAAAUUAACUUUGCUCGGUUGAGAUACUGCCGGUUGUCAUUUGACAAUAUCCGUUCAAAAACAAUAAAUGCAAAUGAUAACUUUGCUAAUGACAAUUACGCGCCAGCUUAUGCUGAAGAAGCCUUCGCAUAAACUAUAGUGUUUUGUCGGGGUAUUCCGGCCUACCUGUCAACAGAAUUGGCCGGGCU
rnacentral:tmRNA from 1 species